rnacentral:lncRNA from 1 species
AUGGAAGUCCAUAGGUGAGCUAUAAUACCCACCCAUAGAGUGCAGCAAUAGCCCCUUGCAUCAAUAGCCUUUCCAGAACUUCCCUCUAUGAACAUUCCCAAUAAGAAAAAGUACAGUUACAAAUAUAAAAUAUGGCAGGAGUAUCUCUACCACUAGUCAGGGGGCAGCAUCUAGGCAGUCUUAGUUUAGUGAGAGAAAUAAUCAUUCCUCAGCCCGUUGUCCCUUUAGUAAUGUACACUUAAAUUCAGAGGACUUGAAGUAAUGUUUUCAGCUGCAAUGACUUCUUGUGGUAAAAUCUACAGCUGUAAUUCUAAAUUGGUAAAAAUGGAUCUGGCAAAACAGAAACAGUUUACGGGGUUGGAAAUAUGUACGAGCUGACCAUUCAUGACAUUUGCCAUAAUCCAUGUGUCUGUACAUCUGUAAGCAUUGCCUUUGGGAUAACCACUCAAUUCUUUCAAACUUCCAGAUAUAUUGCUUUCAAUGUUAUUUACCACGAAUCUUGCCUUGUAAUCUAGAUUUUAUUAUCUACAAGGUGAUUGCUUCACUCAAAUUGGGACGUGCUGUCAGAAAAACAGACAGAUUGCUUUGCACAAGGAGAAGAAGAAUCACAGAGUUUAGACCAUUUCAAAAAAGGAGCCAGAAGUUCUUUUGUGGAUUAUAUCAUUGGUCAAAAAUGCUGGCUGCAAACUGCUUAUGAAUGUAACAUACACCAAGAGCAACCACCAGUGGAGAGUUGCUGCAUGUGUCAUUUCCAUAUUAUUAGUUUUUCUAAACUGUUCCAUGCUAAUUGGAAUGUUUGUCUGAUAUUACCUAUGAAAUAAUAGGCAUUUUGAGUUUUAGAUUUAUUAACCACAAUGGUGAGGGCUAUCUUCAUCAAAGCUCAGUAAUGAACAAGGAAUUGUCUUUUAAUCCCCCUUUAAAAAUUCACAAAUAAUAACCAUACAUAUUUAUGGGGUGCAUAGUAAUGUGUGUGUGUGUUUGUGUGUGUGUGUGUGUGUGUGUGAGUGUAUAUAUAUAUAUAUACACACACAUAUAUACACACAUAUAUAUACAUAUAUAUAUACACAUAUAUAUAUAAUGUAUAGUAAUCAGAGUAAUUAGCAUCUCCAUUAUCUCAAACAUUUAUCAUUUCUUUCUGUUGGGAACACUGAAUAUUCUCCUUCCAGCUAUUUGGUACUAUCUAGUAUAUUCUUGGUAACUGAAAAAAAAUUACAUCUAAGUGUUAACCUCAGGUAUCUUGAAAUGCCAACUCCUAACAGUCAUAGCCUGGGAGUUCAUGUUAGCCUUCUUGCAACUAUGCAUAUCCACAUAAUUAAUCAAAAUCAUUUGUGUUUUGGUGAGAAUUAGCAUCUGCAAUGGUGAGUUUUAUGUGUCAGCUUAGCUAGGCUAUCAAUCCAAGUUAUUUAAUCAAAUAUUAAUCUAAGUGUUGCUGUGAACAAGGUAUUUUAUAGAUGGAGUUAAUAACAUCUACAAUAAGUUGCCUUUAAGUAAAGAUUACCCUUGAUAAUAUGGGCGGGUCACAUUCAAUCAAUUGAAGCAGUAAGAGUCAAAACUUCGGCUUCCCAAAGAAGAAAUUCUACCUUAAGACUGUAACAUCAACUCUUCUCUGAGUUUCUACUCUAUUAACCUGCCCUGUGAAUUUUGGACUUGCUUAUACUCACAAAUCAAGUAAACCAAUUGCAUAAAACAAAUCUCUAUCUCAUCUAUCUAUACACACCUCACACUAUACAUUCUGUUUCUCUGGAAAACACUAAUACAUCAUCUUACCACUUCACAUUUUUAAGCAAUUAAAAUCUCUCACUAUCUUCCC